ACUCCAGUCGAUGCUGCUGGAGGGAACUGCUAUCAGAUUCCGACAGCCAUGCAAGUCAGCUCAACGGCUUCGUUGGGCGGCACACGGCUCAGUAACGCGUAGUCAAUCUACCAUAGGGAGGCGGAUAACCUCGGGAAACUGAGGCUAAUACGCCAUAGGCUAGGGAUUCUGGAACGAGUCCUAGCUUAAAGGUACGCAAAUUGCAGCGCAACUACCCUACGAUGAGACUGCGUCAGAUCAGGCAGAUGGCGGGGUAAUGGCCCACCAUACCUUUGACCUGUAGGGGAUAUGGGAGUAUGAGCCCCGAGAAGGACACUGAGACAAGGGUCCUAGCGCUACGGCGUGCAGCAGGCGCGCAAACUCCACACUGUGCGUAAGCACGAUGGGGGGAAUCUGAGUGGUUCACUUCGGUGAACCUUUUGCCAAGUAUAGCAAGCUUGGAGAAUAAGUGCUGGGCAAGACCGGUGGCAGCCGCCACGGUAAUACCGGCAGCACGAGUGGUUUCCACGAUUAUUGGGCUUAAAGCGUCCGUAGCUGGCCUGAACCGUCUUAUGUGAAAUAUUCGCGCUUAACGCGAAUGCGUGCAUAAGAUACCUUCAGGCUGGGGAGUGGGCGAGGUAUGGAGUACUUAUGGGGUAGGGGUAAAAUCCUGUAAUCCUAUAAGGACUACCGGUGGCGAAGGCGCCAUACCAGAACACAUCCGACAGUGAGUGACGAAGGCUAGGAGAACGAAUCGGAUUAGAUACCCGAGUAGCCCUAGCAGUAAAUUAUGCAGACUCUGGUGUUGCAAUUUCUACAUGAAAUUGCAGUACCGUAGAGAAAUUGUUAAGUCUGCCGCCUGGGGAGUACGGCCGCAAGGUUGAAACUUAAAGCAAUUGGCGGGGGAGCACACCAGGGGUGGAUGCUACGGUUUAAUUGAAUCCAACGUCCGAAACAUUACCGGGAGCGACGGCAGUUUGAAGGUCAGACUAAAGAUCUUACCUGACAAGCCGAGAGGUGGUGCAUGGCGAUCGUCAGUUCGUGGUGUGAACUGUCAGGUUAAGUCCUGUAACGAACGAGACCCUUGCUAACAGUUGCAACAGGUGCUGCGAAGCACUUGGCACUCUGUUAGGACCGCCUGCGUUUAAGCAGGAGGAAGGAAAGGGCGACGGCACGUCAGUAUGCCCCGAAUCUCCCGGGCUACACGCGGCAUACAGAGGCUGGAACAAUGGGUUGCCACACAGAAAUGUGAAGCUAAUCCCCUAAAACCAGUCAAAGUCCGGAUUGAGGGUUGAAACUCGCCCUCAUGAAGCUGGAAUCCCUAGUAAUCGCUUGUCACUAUCGAGCGGUGAAUAGGUCCCCGCUCCUUGCACACACCGCCUGCCAACUCAUCCAAGUGAGGAUUUAGUGAGGCUGAGUUAAAUGCUCAUUCGAACUAAGUUUUUAUGAGGAGGGGUAAGGCAUAACAAGGUAUCCGUAGGGGAACCUGCGGAUAGAUCACCUCAU
rnacentral:rRNA from 1 species